rnacentral:rRNA from 1 species
AACGAACGCUGGCGGCAGGCCUAACACAUGCAAGUCGAACGCCGUAGCAAUACGGAGUGGCAGACGGGUGAGUAACACGUGGGAACGUACCCUUCGGUUCGGAAUAACUCAGGGAAACUUGAGCUAAUACCGGAUACGUCCGAGAGGAGAAAGAUUUAUCGCCGAGGGAUCGGCCCGCGUCUGAUUAGCUUGUUGGUGAGGUAACGGCUCACCAAGGCGACGAUCAGUAGCUGGCUGAGAGGAUGAUCAGCCACAUUGGGACUGAGACACGGCCCAAACUCC